rnacentral:rRNA from 1 species
GUGGUGCGGAUGAAGGAGAGCUUGCUCCCUGAUUUAGCGGCGGACGGGUGAGUAAUGCCUAGGAAUCUGCCUGGUAGUGGGGGAUAACGUUCCGAAAGGAACGCUAAUACCGCAUACGUCCUACGGGAGAAAGCAGGGGACCUUCGGGCCUUGCGCUAUCAGAUGAGCCUAGGUCGGAUUAGCUAGUUGGUGAGGUAAUGGCUCACCAAGGCGACGAUCCGUAACUGGUCUGAGAGGAUGAUCAGUCACACUGGAACUGAGACACGGUCCAGACUCCUACGGGAGGCAGCAGUGGGGAAUAUUGGACAAUGGGCGAAAGCCUGAUCCAGCCAUGCCGCGUGUGUGAAGAAGGUCUUCGGAUUGUAAAGCACUUUAAGUUGGGAGGAAGGGCAUUAACCUAAUACGUUAGUGUUUUGACGUUACCAACAGAAUAAGCACCGGCUAACUUCGUGCCAGCAGCCGCGGUAAUACGAAGGGUGCAAGCGUUAAUCGGAAUUACUGGGCGUAAAGCGCGCGUAGGUGGUC